rnacentral:tRNA from 1 species
GGCGCCGUAGCUCAGUUGGUUAGAGCGCGGCUCUCAUGAGGCCGAGGUCGGGAGUUCAAUUCUCCCCGGCGCCA